AUUGAACGCUGGCGGCAGGCCUAACACAUGCAAGUCGAACGAGUGGCGGACGGGUGAGUAAUGUCUGGGAAACUGCCUGAUGGAGGGGGAUAACUACUGGAAACGGUAGCUAAUAGCGCAUACCAUCAGAUGUGCCCAGAUGGGAUUAGCUAGUUGGUGGGGUAACGGCUCACCAAGGCGACGAUGCCUAGCUGGUCUGAGAGGGUGACCAGCCACACUGGGACUGAGACACGGUCCAGACUCCUACGGGAGGCAGCAGUGGGGAAUAUUGGACAAUGGGCGCAAGCCUGAUGCAGCCAUGCCGCGUGUAUGAAGAAGGCCUUCGGGUUGUAAAGUACUUUCAGCGGGGAGGCGUUACCCGCAGAGGAAGCACCGGCUAACUCCGUGCCAGCCGCCGCGGUAAUUC
rnacentral:rRNA from 1 species